UGUCAAGGGAUGGAAUCGAACCCACGACCUUCCGCAUACCGGGCAGAUGCAUGACCACUAGGCUACCCUGGAC
rnacentral:tRNA from 1 species